GGCAAAACAGGAGGCUUCAGUCUUCCAACAGGAAAGAAAAUGCUUUGCUUUUGCCAGCUGUUGUUGUUUUCCUUACUCUGUUGUUUCCUCCCAGUGUGCUGUGACUUCUUUGUUCUCUGGAGAAAACAAACUUUGUGGGGAGAGCAGCCUUUAUUAAUGAAAGCAAACAGCCGCUGCUUUGUUAUUGUCUGUAUGAUGCCCUGAUAAUGUUUUGCAAACAUAAUUCCUGCUAUGCUGGAAGGAGUCUCAUGACUGGACGUUGGGAGAGCAGCGAUGGCUUGUGGAGGUGAUUGGGCUUCUGGUAGUUUGGAUAUAUGUGCUGCAUUUCAUUGUGCAAUGAUCGAAAGCAGAACUCCAGGAGAUCAAGAAGGCAACUAAAUAACGUGUUUUCAAAGGGACGUAAACUGAAAAAGCAAGUGCCAUUGCCAGCUGUAAACAUUGCCUUCUCCUCUCUUUGGCUGAAAAAAGUAGUACCUCUAAUGACUAAACAAACAAGAUUUUUACCAUCGUUACUGGGAGGGGUGUGAAACAAAGGAAACCUGCACAGCUGAGCAGGCCCCAUGUUGGCACAGCACAGUGUACAGUUGGAUUACCACAGAGGAGUCAGUCAGGUUUGCUUAGGGAAGCCAAUGGAAGCCCUCCUUCGCCCUGAGGCCUUGACCCCUUGGUAAAGUGUGCAAUGACUUGAAUUUUGUAGGACAUCUUAUACUCGGGUUGCUUUGAUUCAGAGCCUGAGUUCCCCAUACACAUCUAUUUCUGUGGGGAGGCAAAGGGAGAAGAAGAUGACAACUUAUCUGCUAAUUUGGACCAUGCUGUUCAGGAAGCGUUUCUAUGCCGUUGUGCUCCAGGAUGUGCUGAGGAGCCUCAGCAUCUAUGUCUACGUUGGCCUGCAUGCUGGGCUUUUCAUUCUCCCACUUUGCAAAGCCUUUGUUCUUCCCAGCUUUGCCGUGGAACUUGGAUUUCAUUUUUGGGAAAGUGUGAGACCCUGAAUCACUCCAGCCCGGUUCGUGCCACAGCGGUUCCGUCUGCGUUGCUUGGCUGGCUGUCGCCCUCUGCAGCCGCACUGAAAUCUUCCGGGAGGAGCCGGUGACAAGAGUGAUGGCUCUGCCGUCGAGGUCCUGCUGUUCUGCAUCGACGCUGGGAAACUCAAACACUUCAUCCUGGGCUGAACAAGAAGCUCAGCCACUGAUGCAUUGCAUGGACAGCAAGCCUGCAGUGCAGGCAUGGGGAUGUACAUGAUAUGGACAGUGCUGCCAGCAGACCUUUUCCUGACCCCAUGGUAUGUAUUUCAGGAUGUCUCCCUGCUAGGACAAGGACACUCGGCUUUCCAAGAUGCCACUUCUUGUUGGCACAAACUGACACCUUGCAGAUCCCCUGAAGAUCCCAGGGGCUGCUGGGGGAGGGGGGCCUUCAGCACUGGUGUUCUCCUGCUACAGUGAGGCUUUGUGGGAUGCAGCAACCACUUGCUGGUCACAGCCAGUACGGGCUACUCAAGCAAAAUCUGGCUGCCACUUCAGUGAAAAAUACAGUUGACUUCUGCUAAAACCCACCACCUGAAUUGUGAAAAAUCCAUGCAGUAUAUUUAUUUACCUUUACAUUUGUAGCCUUGUUUGAUUAUACCCCAGAGCUGCAAAGACAAAAAAAAAAAAAAAAAAAAAAGUCAAGGAAUCAGAAAAGAAAGCCGGACGGAAAGCGAGGUCACAAUGAGGAAGUACCAAUGGCUACAGAAGCACAAACAGGAUACAACUGCUCUUAACACCCUUCCUGUCAGGCAGACCUCCUCCUCUAAAUGUGAUAAGCUUUGUGUGGCUUCCCCCUUACUUCUGCCUGCAGUGGGACUACUGGAGAAGCAGCGGCACAGCUGAUGCGUACUGCCAGGAAUGGGUAAAAGAAUCACUGUCCUAUCAGGCUUACAAAAUCCAGCAAAGCACAUUCUGCUUCUGGCUUGUUUUGAGCCAUCUCAGGGAUCAUUCCCAUGACACAUCUGGCCUCCAGCCACAUGAAUGGGCCUGUACUCUACAAGCAUGGCAGACAAAAACACCACUGGGGACAAAGUCACUUUGUGGCUUUGGAGCUGGUUCCCAAACAUGGACUGAUCCGUUCACCUGACUUCUUCCAUUAAGAACGGUCGAAGCCCAAAACAGACAGACAAUUCACUGAACUCCUCUUUGCCUCCUCCCAGAGGCUGUCCUUAUUGAAUGUUGGCCUUCCAUGUGGCAGCGUGUGCGUGUUCUGCUUUUGGGAAGCUGUCACUGUGAUGUGAACUUGGAAGUAGAAAAAAAGAUCCCCUGCAAACUGUUAUCUGUACACUCAGAAGAAAGGUAACUACAACAGUGGCAUUAUAAAAACAAAUAUUUUCACUCUGAACAGCAGAGGGAGGAGAGUAUAGUCCAGUUCUAAAGGAAAAAGAUGAGAGACUGUAGUGUUUGUUUAUCCUGAAUUCCCUCAAAACAUAAAUAGGGAAGGUGAGCACAACUAGACAGUUGAAGCUGCAUGUGGCUCCUCUAUGAAAGUAUGCAGUGUGUGGGAGAAAUGUGCUGAGUAAAAGAAUGGCCAACAGGAAGAGCCACAGUCCAUAUGGAGCACAAAAGAAAGAGUAAAAAAACCCUGCAUAUUGUGUAAGACAGAACUGCUUGCGUUUUUCCAAUUAGAGACAAGGAUAUUGUGUGGAACCAUAUAAAAAGCCUUGCUGAAGUCCAGGUAGAUUACAUGAGUUGCUCUUCAUCUACUACUGCCAUCCCUCCUUUGCAGAAGGCUACCAAUCUGGUCUUUUCCCGCAGAUGCUGUAGAUGUGCAGUGACUGUGGAGCUGUGGUUGGCCCCUCCUGGAAAAGCCACCCCUGGCUAUGCUUUCCUCAGCUCUUUGCCAGAUCCACUUGAUGGGGUGUGGAUUACUUUUCCUGUUGUCAAAGCUCUGCUCUGUUCCCUCUGGAGAGCUUUCUCCUUAAUGUAACAUGAAUCCUGACCUAAAACUUUGAAUCCACCUGACACGGCUCUAUGACAAAGCUGCCUUCAGCCAGGCCCAGGGUAAGAGGAUCUGUGCAAAUGUGGACGGCCAAGCUGGAGGGGAUGGCUGCUCACUCACCCUGACAUGGGGUGCAAGUCAAGCUGUGGGUCGGAACUGAGACUGGUAGCGAGAGUAUUGAUUUCACUCUGUGAAUGGCAUUAGAUUGUAGCUUGACCUUUAAAGUUCAUCUUGUUUUAAUAUUAGAUGUUUGACUGGUACUGGAGCCAGUGGGCUGUCACAUCCAUUCAUCCUGCUGCAUGGUCAGUUCACAUUUUUUUGACGGUGAAUCACUGCAUCAGUUCAAAACAGUUUCCACCCAUGGUUGGUUGGAGAGUGCUGAAAUGCACAACAAACACACAGUGGCUGGUGCCUGUCCUGUCAGCCCAGCUCAUCCACAGGACAAUGCUAGUGAAUGCAGUGAGCUGGCAGGAAAAAUGACCUUAUUUCCAUUUCCUCCCCAAUCCCUUACUUAUUUUUGUUCCUGUGCCAGUUGUAAUCAUGAAGACAUGGAAAAAGCCAGCAAGCAAACUGAUAAGGGAGAAAAAUAUCUGGUAAAGAGGACAUUGCAGGACACUCCUCAGCCCAACUUGGCGACGGAAGCCUUCCAAGCAUGAACUAACUGUCACGAAUGCAAUGACGUCUUCCUAAGGCAGCAGGCAGCCCAAAACAAUAGGCUCAGGCCAGUUCCCAAUGUUCUUUCUUCUGGAGUGGAGCUGCAGAGCCUGCCUGCAGGCUUCUGAAUCAGCACUGACUGUCAUCUUUGAGGCUUCUGCAGUUCCAGUGGAAAUGGGCAGAAUUCCUUCUUCCCCAGCCUUGAUCAGCAGCUGCGAUAGGGAACACGAAGGUCCUGGUGUGAUGGGUGCCAAGCAGAAGUGAGGGAAAAGGGCCAGUCUGAGAUGAGUGGUGACCCACUCCUUCCACAGCACAGAGCUGUAAUUGCCCAACUUUACUGGCAAUGAAGGAAGCAUGAGGGAGCCAGAAUAACUGUGGCAAAGGGAACAGUUGUGGUCAAAUUACAUCCAAUGCGGACAGGAGACUCAUCAGCGAAAUUCCAGGUAUUCAGACUGAAUUAGUGCUGACUGUGGAACUACUCAAUAUUGCCCAUCAUCCUCCAUUGAAACCACACACAUGCAGUCUUCAAGCUGGUCUCCAAAAGUGAUGAACUAUUCUUAAAGUCAGGCAAUCUAGCAGAGAAUCUCUGUGAGUUGAUUCUUCUCCACUGAGAGAAACCCAAGCCCAGUCCCCUAGGAUACCUUGCCAAGAUCCAAGUAUUGUGCCGGUGAGACCUGAACUGCAGAACUCAUCAGACCUUCAAGAAGGGAUGUUCUGCUCAAUAUCUGUACAUUUGGUUGUCCACCAUACCUUUGUGACUUCCGAAGACAGAUGAGAAUGAGUCUCUUUCAGGCGAGAAAUAGAGCUAUGGCUAAGACCUCCCACAACUGCCAUCAGUGUGUUGAAGUUCUGGAGAUGGAGGAGCUUCUGUAGAAAAGAUGGAUCAUGAAAAAAUAAAAAUAAGGGUCUUGCUGUAUCACUUACAACUUCAGUAUUUGAAUGCCAGGUUAAUACUAAGGCAUGCAUGAUGAAUAUGAUUACUACUUCUAUGGAAUCAUUUUUCCCCACGAUUUACUCAACACCUGAGACAUUUUAUUUUGUGCAGUUUUACUUGACAUCCUCAUACAAUGAUACUGUAUAGGAAUGACCUAGUGCUACAAGUAAGAAGCAUAUAAAAAGGAGUUUUCACUUCACUCCAAUACCUGAUCAAGAACAUUACUGAUGUAAAGAGCAAAAUCUGGGCGCUGCUGAAGUCAACAGGAGCUCCUAACAAGAGUCUGAACUGCAACUCAAGAAGCUAACUAUGCAUCAGUUUUCCUAUGUCUUCCUCCUACAUCAACUGAUCAAUUCGUAGCACAAGCAGCUAGUUCUGCUAAAUCUUGCUUAUUCUGAUAUUGUUCAUUCCUGUGUGUUCAUGGAUAUUGUUCCACACGGAUGGCUACCACUAGAAUUAGAUUUCUUGAGAACUUC